UAAACUCCACUCAAACCAAUGAGAGUCUACGGUGAAAACUUUGUAAACAAGUCUUACACGCUGUUUUAAAGCUCACCAGAGUCUAUUUACUCCGACGCGACGCGACCGUGCUGCGACCAAGUGCGUCGAAAGUACCAGAACAGAUGUGAAGUCAAACACCAGUGUCUUGAAGACACGUGGAAUGAUAUGUUGGAAAGCAGAAAAGAAGCAGCACGAGAAAACCCAGGGGCCUGUUGUGGCCCUACACACGACCUCAUGCUUGGGGGUCAGGCUGUCUGAGAUAUUGAGCCACGUUUAGAGAUGACAUGCUAACCACGACUAAAAGGACUAAAGGUUCGGAUCUUCGUCUUCGGAUCGCCAUCACCUUCAAUGAGUGGGAUCCUGUCGGUGUGUUCAGCUCUGGAGUUAUUCGAAAGGAUGACCAGAGGUGUCUGUAAGGCGGGGAUUUACAUUUUCUCAGGACAGGCAGCCCGUGGAGAGAGGCCUGCUGGCAGAUCAAAGACUCCGGCUGUAAAACGAUCUGAAAGAGUCCAGCAUUAGCAUCCAUCAGGGUACCUUGAAAGCUCCCUGGUCAGCCGAGAGGGAAGCAGAGGGCCCCCCAAAGUGAAAGCCCAGUCUGGAGAGGAGUGAUGGAGGGGCGGAGGGAGGGCAGACUGCGGGUGGAGAGAGCGAGGGAGAAAGAGAUGGAGGGAUGAAUAACUCAGCUAAAAGUUAUGAAGGAAAUGUUUCCCAAAGGAAGGAAAAUCCCCAUUACAAGUGUUUUUAUUUCUCUUUUUUGACUCACCCACAUAUCUUCUUUAAACCUUUCCCCUCUCUCUCUCUAUCUUUUUAAUUUCUUCUGAGCAGCAGUGAGGCUGUAAGGGGAGAGCAUCUCCAUCUGUGCACCAUCUCCCCUCAGUUCACCAGGCCCAGACUUUUACUACUCCACCCUGCCUUAGACACAUAGGGUCAUGUCUGGUUGGAGAUUGGAAGUGGAGUGAAGGAAGGCAGGAGGGGUUGAGUGUGGGAGGAACAGAAACAUGGGCUGGCUUCACAUACUGUAUCCCUUUACAUCAGCAUUGAAAGUGGGAAAGGAGAAAUGGCAGCAGCAUAGGGGCUAUGUGUGUGUGUGUGUGUGUGUGUGUGUGUGUGUGUUCCUUUUUUUAUGCAAUAAGCAUGAUGAAUGCUCUUGAAAUGGAUAGGUAACUAAGACGUGUGACAGGGAUCAAGAUUAGACCUGCAUUCCUGGUGUGUUCCAGUGCCUCCGCAUUUGUGUCUUUUUCCAUGACAAAAGUAUGAUCGUAUUAGUCGCAUAAAUCUUUUUUUUUUACAAAAAAAAAAAAGUCUGCAUCCUUCAGGCUGAUCGAGUGACAAAAUUCCCUCAAGAAACGAGAUUUAUACGCAAUGAGACCUGACAACACUGAGCUCCUUUUUUCCUGGAAAGACUCUCAGCAACAGUAUGUAACACACUGCCACAUUCAAAUUCCAAAGUAAAAGCACAACCUCGGCUGACUGUAAACCAUUUAGCACCGACUUUCUCUUAGAAACUUUAACUGUGACACAUGGUCCGGCCCGGUGAAAUUAAUGAGUCCAAAUUUUACUUUUCCACAGCUCUGUAAACUGCAGCCAUCAUUUAUUGGUCCUGGCUCUGGCUCGGGGCUGAGCAGCUCUCCUGGAUGAUGAUGUAAGAGGAUUUUGCAUGAAUAAUUGAUUCGGUAACAGUAAAACUAAAGGUGGUACAGGUGUCUGUGUGGGAAUAUGGAACGAGGAACAGGCAGCGAAAAACUUGUAUUGUGUUUCCUGAGAAGUCAUGCUUUAUGAUUAUGGCCCGGUACCAACAAUCUCACUCCACCUUUAAACACACUGCAGUUGUAGUUGCACAGGUGUUAAAAACGCGAUGUCGCUGUUUUCUACUUGACAAUAGACCAGAAUCAGCUUCAUCUUAAACUGAAGAAACAAGCAGUGCAUGGUUAAAGGUCUUAUUGUCAUUACUUGACCCGCAAACACACAAGCGUCCACACACAUAGCACUAAUGGACACUAAGUACUUCCCACAUAGGAUCACACAGGCACACAAGCAAUCUGCACAACUGUGUGUCCCUCAGUGUGCAGAUUACUGACAUGUGUGCAGCCUCCUGGGUGCGAGACCAGGGCUGCAUGCCACUGUCUCAGCUCAAUAAUGGAUGUCCCGUUUGUCACGCUCACACACACAUACAUGCACACAUGCACACACAGAUAGAUAGAUAGAUAGAUAGAUAGAUAGAUAGAUAGACAGUGUUGGGGCUCAGUCCUGUCCACCAGAGGAUGAGUUCCUCCUCUGUUUAGGGAAAAGGAUGUGAUCUCACUGGUUAAAAAUCCAACCUAUGUCGCUUGCCACUCAUGACUUAAUCCAGGCUUCUCCUUUGUGCAGAGCGCCCUCCCCUUCCCCUCUUCUCCUUUUACUUUCUCUUGCUCUCUCUGUCUGUUCCUGUCUCUCUGCAACAAAGCAGCAAAUGCAUGCAGGCCCUACAUCAUUUGUGACAGUCGCAGUUCUACAAACACACUGAUCGGCCACAACAACAAAACCAGUGAGUGUUUCUAAUCACCAGCAGAAGUUAUCUUUCAUGGCUUGACCUUGAUUGAAGGAAUGGUUCUGAGCAUUCAAGUUUACUCGGCACAAACUUUCCGGCCUGCAGCCAAAGACAAAAUGUCAAACCUGAAGAAAAGUUGUUUUUUUGUCCUUCCUUCAGCAUGUGGCUUUUUUCAGUCUUCAGUGUUGGACUGAGGAAUGACGCUGCCCCAAGUGGCAACCGGUUGUGAUGUCACUCAUAAGAAUCUGAAGUCCUGCUUUGAAGCAAUUUGGCUGUCACUGUGUUGAGGUUGUGCAACCGGAAGGUCAGAGGGCGUCACUUGCUGUCAAUCACACUCAGGUUCCCCUCUUAUGUGUUGUAUCGUAUCAUCUCGUUUCCUCCAAAUGGGACCAAAAAUCACGAAAAUGACAACGAAAAAGGACUUGAAACUAGCGAUUGAUACCAUAAACUAAUCAUGGAAAUGUUUACUGGUGAUAAUAAAAUGAGUUGUGGGCUCAUUUUCCCAUGGACUUCCAUUGUUUUUGCUACUACUGGAGUUGCCCCCUAGUGGCUAUUCCAUUCAUUGCUACUUCUUGGUUGACUUCAGCGAGGAAAUUGAAAGACUAUGUCCAUGUUCUGCCUACAACCCAGCUCAUUGAAAGCCUUCUCUGCAUCGUUCUUGGCCAGUGGAUAUCAGGGAGGUGUGCGAGCCACAAAGCUUUGCAGUUACCUGUUUCAGAGACUCAGCCUGUGCCUCUGAGAAGCAACAGGAUAAGCAAAUCAAGCAAUAUGAUCGGCUUCGUACAGGAGACUGCAGUGAAACCAUAUUUGGAAAUCCCCUAACCAGGCCCAACGCCACUAUUGCUUUGGUUUGGGGGGCCCCACAGCCUCUUGAAAACACCCCUGGUCUGACACAGCCAGAGUUAUCAUAGACACGAGAAUCAAUAGUAGGGGUGUAAAGAUCCAUGGACCACUGUGUUCAUCUAUUUGUGCUGUGAACCCAUCAGACUCUUCAAACUCUUGCAAAAGACUCUCACGAGUAGGAGAGCAGAUGACUAGCGAGCAAAUUUCCUGAAACUCAUUAUGACUAAAUGUGUCAUCUGUGUCUUACUGUCAUGUUUAAGAACUUGAAACAUUAGGAAAAUGUAAAAUGGAUGUCACAAGCAUGGGUGUGUCACACAAACUGCCUUUCAUAGUUCUAGUUUGUUUUUGUUUAUCUUCUUAACUGUCUGUUACUGAAUAUAAGCAGUAACGUUCCUCUGUCGUUCCUCUGACUCACAUUGUAGCCUGUCGAUCGUGUUAUGAAAUCAUCCUCUUGUGGAGAAUGAUUCUGAAGACACAGAUGACAUUUUGACAGACGUGAUGAGCUUGGUGCAGGGAACACGCUCAGGCCUUUGUGUGGCCUAUGUAUUGUGCGUAUGGCAUUUUUGCCAUAUGCCUUUUUCUAAACAACUUUAACAGCGGCGUGCGCAUCUGUUGUUGUUUUUAGGCCCCUUUAUGUAGGGCAGUGUGUUCGUAAACACACUUCACAAUGCAGUUACGUACAGUACAUAUGCAGUGAAACUGUCAUGAUGCUCGUCAUGAUGCUCAGAGGCGUACGGGUCCAGAAUCAGAACAACUGUGGUAAUGGGAACUGAACAUAUGGGGUUUUUUUCUUCUGAAAACAAGAUACAAUGCUGCGGUUGACAUGGUGCAUUUAUACCGUGGCCUCUAAUCUGCGUCUUUUAUGGCCAGAGUGGACAGGAGGACAGAAGAAGCCAACAGUUUGUUUCUUUAUUAUUUAAAUCCCAAGGUAUGUGUAGGCGCACAUGGGUGGAUUAGGAUUAGAUUUACUAGCGUCGGGUUACGAUAAGGGUUUACUUAGUUGUGAUGGUUAGUUCAUACAAUCAUUUCCUGACCAGUUAUCCCUAUCUGUCUCCUUCACCCUUGUCUCACACUACACUGCCUUAUUUGUGACAGUUUGGCCAGGGCAGCUGUCCACAUGUGGCAAGUCACUGUGGCACCCCAUAAUUCAAGCUGUACGUAGGGAAUGAGAGAGAGAGAGGAACAUAAUGCCACCAAAUCCUAACUUGGGCUGAAGUGGCUGAGAGAAUCUUUUUCACAAACUUUUCCUGUAUUAACUAAACAGCUUUCUUGCUUUUAAUACUUCUGGCCUGCGGAAUGUAUUUGAGUCGUCACUUUGCACACGUACGCGUUCAUACUCUCAGAAUAGAGAAGGGCAUCAUAAAAGGAGAGAAAUAAAAGAAAGGAAGGUCAACUUUUCUAGUGAUAUUUUUAAUCAAGCAAAUUUGUAUUUAAUGUAGUGACUCAUUUACAGCUGUAACAUAAUCAUUUACAAGAACUGCUUGGUACAUUAAAUAAAUGGUCUUUGGUCCAUAACAUUUUUUUAAACAAAAAGGUUGAUCAUUGUUUGUCAAAUCUGGAA